GUCGAGCGGUAGCACAGAGAGCUUGCUCUCGGGUGACGAGCGGCGGACGGGUGAGUAAUGUCUGGGAAACUGCCUGAUGGAGGGGGAUAACUACUGGAAACGGUAGCUAAUACCGCAUAACGUCGCAAGACCAAAGAGGGGGACCUUCGGGCCUCUUGCCAUCAGAUGUGCCCAGAUGGGAUUAGCUAGUAGGUGGGGUAACGGCUCACCUAGGCGACGAUCCCUAGCUGGUCUGAGAGGAUGACCAGCCACACUGGAACUGAGACACGGUCCAGACUCCUACGGGAGGCAGCAGUGGGGAAUAUUGCACAAUGGGCGCAAGCCUGAUGCAGCCAUGCCGCGUGUAUGAAGAAGGCCUUCGGGUUGUAAAGUACUUUCAGCGAGGAGGAAGGCAUUAAGGUUAAUAACCUCAGUGAUUGACGUUACUCGCAGAAGAAGCACCGGCUAACUCCGUGCCAGCAGCCGCGGUAAUACGGAGGGUGCAAGCGUUAAUCGGAAUUACUGGGCGUAAAGCGCACGCAGGCGGUCUGUCAAGUCGGAUGUGAAAUCCCCGGGCUCAACCUGGGAACUGCAUUCGAAACUGGCAGGCUAGAGUCUUGUAGAGGGGGGUAGAAUUCCAGGUGUAGCGGUGAAAUGCGUAGAGAUCUGGAGGAAUACCGGUGGCGAAAGCG
rnacentral:rRNA from 1 species